rnacentral:rRNA from 1 species
AACGAACGUUAGCGGCGCGCUUAACACAUGCAAGUCGUGCGAGAAAGGGGAAACCCCGGUAAAGCGGCGCACGGGUGAGUAACACGUAGGUAAUCUGCCCCAGGUGGUGGAUAACCUUCCGAAAGGAGGGCUAAUACAGCAUGAGAUCACGUUUUCGAAAGGGAAUGAGGUAAAAGCCGGCCUCUUCAUGAAAGCUGGCGCCAGGGGAUGAGCCUGCGGCCCAUCACGGUAGUUGGUAGGGUAAUGGCCUACCAAGCCUAAGACGGGUAGCUGGUCUGAGAGGAUGAUCAGCCACACUGGAACUGAGACACGGUCCAGACUCCUACGGGAGGCAGCAGUGGGGAAUCUUGCGCAAUGGGCGAAAGCCUGACGCAGCGACGCCGCGUGAGUGAUGAAGGCCUUCGGGUUGUAAAGCUCUGUGGAGAGGGACGAAUAAGCGUUGGCUAAUAUCCAACGUGAUGACGGUACCUUUUUAGCAAGCACCGGCUAACUCUGUGCCAGCAGCCGCCGUAAAAC